GGCUGAGCUAACUCUACCUCAUCAGUGAUGACUCCAUCCAAACUAUGCAGCCAUUGCCCAGACACGCUCAGCCUUCAGAAAGUGAAUUGCUGGAAUCCAACUAGCUCUGUUGUUUUCAAAGAGGCUCACAAGGUCCCAAAGCACCAAUCAUCUUAACUGGCACCAGGAAGAGGAAAACCAUGCCCUUAUUUCCUUGAGUCAUAUCAUUAUCUCCUAAGAGUCUAACUCUGAAAAACAGCACUCUAGGGAAGAAAAACAAGAGAGACUGGAGCAACUGGAUCUGUAACAUGAGAUUCAAGGUCAUGUCAAGCCACUCAGUGGGCCAGAUAGAAUUUGUAUUCACUGCAAUGCAUAAAUCUUCAGUAGAUUAUCCAGGAGUUCCUCAAAAUGCAUCCACUUGUACAAUCCAAACUCCCCUCAAGAUACAGAAUAUAACCGUCACUCUGGAAAACUUCUUCAUGUCCCUUCCUGACAAAUUCCUGGAGACAACCAAACUUCUAAUGUUUUUCACUAUAAAUUAGUUUUACCUG